AGGAACUAGAUUUACUAAAAUCAACACUAGGACCCCAAAGCAGAGCACUGAUAUACAUAAAAUUUCCUAUAGCCAAUUAGUUAUGGGAUGAAGAUGUUUGUGGCAAAAAUGCUUCUGGCAAAGAUGCUGCUGUGAAAAUACUGGACAUGCCCUGAGAUACCUUCCAUCACUGACACUUUAUGGCUGGAAGAUUGUGAAGGAGAAUAAAAUGACAUGGGAACCUCUCUGUUGGAAAGUCCAAUGUGGUGAAGAACAGAGACCUCCUAAAUGAGGAACUGAGGCCUCCACCAGCAAGUCGAGAAUGAGUGAGUGAUCUUGGAAAUGGAUUCUCCAGCCCAGGUCAGACCUUCAGAUGACAGCAGCCUGAGUCGACAUCUUGACUGCAACAUCUUGAGAGACCCCUGAGCUAAAGGACCACCCAGUGAAGCUGCUUCCAGAUUCCCGACU